UACGUAGGGGGCAAGCGUUGUCCGGAAUCAUUGGGCGUAAAGCGCGCGUAGGCGGCCUUGUAUGUCGAUUGUGAAAGCCCCGGGCUCAACCUGGGAACUGCAGUCGAAACUGCAAGGCUUGAAUGUUGGAGAGGUUGGGGGAAUACCUAGUGGAGAAGUGAAAUUCGUAGAGAUUAGGUGGAACACCAGAGGCGAAGGCGCCUGACUGGCCAAACAUUGACGCUGAGGCGCGAAAGCGUGGGUAGCAAACAGG
rnacentral:rRNA from 1 species